AUACGGAGGGGGUUAGCGUUGUUCGGAAUUACUGGGCGUAAAGCGUACGUAGGCGGAUCAGAAAGUAUGGGGUGAAAUCCCAGGGCUCAACCCUGGAACUGCCUCAUAAACUCCUGGUCUUGAGUUCGAGAGAGGUGAGUGGAAUUCCGAGUGUAGAGGUGAAAUUCGUAGAUAUUCGGAGGAACACCAGUGGCGAAGGCGGCUCACUGGCUCGAUUCUGACGCUGAGGUACGAAAGUGUGGGGAGCAAACAGGAUUAGAAACCCUAGUAGUCC
rnacentral:rRNA from 1 species